AUGCGGUGCCUUCCGAGUUCCCUGGAACGGGACGCCAUAGAGGGUGAGAGCCCCGUCUGGUUGGAUGCCAAAUCUCUGUAAAGUUCCUUCAACGAGUCGAGUAGUUUGGGAAUGCUGCUCUAAAUGGGAGGUAUAUGUCUUCUAAAGCUAAAUACCGGCCAGAGACCGAUAGCGCACAAGUAGAGUGAUCGAAAGAUGAAAAGCACUUUGAAAAGAGAGUUAAAAAGUACGUGAAAUUGUUGAAAGGGAAGCGUUUAUGACCAGACUUGGGCUUGGUUAAUCAUCUGGGGUUCUCCCCAGUGCACUUUUCCAGUCCAGGCCAGCAUCAGUUUUCCCCGGGGGAUAAAGGCGGCGGGAAUGUGGCUCUCUUCGGGGAGUGUUAUAGCCCACCGUGUAAUACCCUGGGGGGGACUGAGGUUCGCGCAUCUGCAAGGAUGCUGGCGUAAUGGUCAUCAACGACCCGUCUUGAAACACGGACCAAGGAGUCGUCUUCGUAUGCGAGUGUUCGGGUGUCAAACCCCUACGCGUAAUGAAAGUGAACGCAGGUGAGAGCUUCGGCGCAUCAUCGACCGAUCCUGAUGUUCUCGGAUGGAUUUGAGUAAGAGCAUACGGGGCCGGACCCGAAAGAAGGUGAACUAUGCCUGUAUAGGGUGAAGCCAGAGGAAACUCUGGUGGAGGCUCGCAGCGGUUCUGACGUGCAAAUCGAUCGUCAAAUAUGGGCAUGGGGGCGAAAGACUAAUCGAACCUUCUAGUAGCUGGUUUCCGCCGAAGUUUCCCUCAGGAUAGCAGUGUUGAACUCAGUUUUAUGAGGUAAAGCGAAUGAUUAGGGACUCGGGGGCGCUAUUUAGCCUUCAUCCAUUCUCAAACUUUAAAUAUGUAAGAAGCUCUUGUUGCUUAAUUGAACGUGAGCAUUCGAAUGUAUCAACACUAGUGGGCCAUUUUUGGUAAGCAGAACUGGCGAUGCGGGAUGAACCGAACGCGAGGUUAAGGUGCCAGAGUAGACGCUCAUCAGACACCACAAAAGGUGUUAGUACAUCUUGACAGCAGGACGGUGGCCAUGGAAGUCGGAAUCCGCUAAGGACUGUGUAACAACUCACCUGCCGAAUGUACUAGCCCUGAAAAUGGAUGGCGCUCAAGCGUCUCACCCAUACCUCGCCCUCAGGGUAGAAACGAUGCCCUGAGGAGUAGGCGGACGUGGAGGUCAGUGACGAAGCCUAGGGCGUGAGCCCGGGUUGAACGGCCUCUAGUGCAGAUCUUGGUGGUAGUAGCAA
rnacentral:ncRNA from 1 species